UACGUAGACGGGAAAUUAAGUCAGUAGUGAAAUCCCACAGCUUAACUGUGGAACUGUUAUUGAUACUGGUUUUCUUGAAUAUAGUUGAGGUAGGCGGAAUGUGUAAUGUAGCGGUGAAAUGCUUAGAUAUUACACAGAACACCGAUUGCGAAGGCAGCUUACUAAGCUAUGAUUGACGCUGAGGUACGAAAGCGUGGGGAGCGAACAGGAUUAGAUACCCUGGUAGUCC
rnacentral:rRNA from 1 species